UUUAUUGCCAUUUUUGGAAAAAGGAAAACUUGAAAGAAAAACAAAAGAUCUUAAUUUGAAAACAGAAAUGCAAUUUUAUUCAUGAAUAAUAUCUUAGAAACAAAGGGAGGCCCUGCAAAGCUUUUCCAUUUGCCUUGGGCAGAGCAAAGACUUAUUAUUAAAAAACAUUAAAUUACUUCAAAAUUGAAAUCAUCUCUGGAAUCUCAAUGGCCUUCCAAUUGUUCAGAGCGGUAUCUGAUGAACAACGACGCACCAA
rnacentral:lncRNA from 1 species